UAACCAAGGCCAAAAGAACACAGAUGAAUGUAUACUUGUUGAGCCCUUUCUUUUGACUUUUGACGACUCGUAGCUGCUUCUACAUUUUGAGGAUUAUCGGGUCCUCUUGCUCCAGCGGUCUCUGUUUUCGGCUCCAAUCAACCUGGUAGCUAUGCUUGCCAUGGUCAAUAUGACAGCAGUUUAGUCGUGUUGGAAUAGCGAUGGCAGCUCGGCUGGUGGCCGAUGAGGCUUUGAGUGCAUGAGGACUGAGAUAUUGUGAGAGCGGCUAGGGUUUCUAAAAAAAUAGUAGAAUAUGAAGUAUUUAUAGUUUAGGG
rnacentral:lncRNA from 1 species